rnacentral:rRNA from 1 species
ACGUAGGGUGCGAGCGUUAAUCGGAAUUACUGGGCGUAAAGCGUACGCAGGCGGCUGGGUAAGACAGGUGUGAAAUCCCCGGGCUUAACCUGGGAACUGCGUUUGUGACUGUAGGGCUUGAGUGCGGCAGAGGGGGGUGGAAUUCCACGUGUAGCAGUGAAAUGCGUAGAGAUCCGGAGGAACCCCGGUGGCGAAGGCGACUUGCUGGGCCUGAACUGACGCUCAGACGCGAAAGCAUGGGGAGCGAACGG